GAUGAACGCUGGCGGCGUGCCUAAUACAUGCAAGUCGAGCGAACAGACGAGGAGCUUGCUCCUCUGACGUUAGCGGCGGACGGGUGAGUAACACGUGGAUAACCUAUCUACAAGACUGGGAUAACUUCGGGAAACCGGAGCUAAUACACGAUAACAUGUUGAAACUCAUGGUUCAACAGUGAAAGACGGUCUUGCUGUCACUUAUGGAUUGAUCCGCGCCGCAUUAGCUAGUUGGUAAGGUAACGGCUUACAAAGGCAACGAUGCGUAGCCGACCUGAGAGGGUGAUCGGCCACACUGGAACGGAGAAACGGUCAGGCCUCCUACGGGAGGCAGCGGUAGGGAAUCUUCCGAAAUGGGCGAAAGCCUGCCGGAGAACCGCCGCGUGAGUGAAAAAGGUCUUCGGAUCGUAAAACUCUGUUAUUAGGGAAGAAGAAAUGUGUAAGUAACUAGGCACGUCUUGACGGUACCUAAUCAGAAAGCCACGGCUAACUACGUG
rnacentral:rRNA from 1 species